GUCAGGAUGGCCGAGCCGUCUAAGGCGCUGCGUUCAGGUCGCAGUCUCCUCUGGAGGCGUGCGUUCGAAUCCCACUUCUGACA
rnacentral:tRNA from 1 species